rnacentral:misc_RNA from 1 species
UGUUAAUUAAUUAAUUUAAGAUUAAUAAUCGUGCUACUCAUGGAGGAAAGGGAAGAAGGAAAGGAGAUACGAAAACUGGCGAGAUUCGCCUUAUGACCGUGCUGAAAUAUUCGUGGUUACAUGACCAUCUAUCGUUAAGACGUCGUCAACUGUCACAACUGACAUGGGGUCGUUCUCGGAAAGGUCGCUGCAGGAUCAUUAAGGAAUGUUCGGUUAGUUGCGAGUUUGAACAAAUAGUACAGAUGUGGCGAUGCAAGAAACAUUAAACGAGACCGAAUGUGCGGCCCUCCUGAAAGAUGUCAAGUGGGGGGACCCAGGUCUGCUCACUUCGUUGUCCAUUUUGGCACUAAUCAACGUGAUGGUGAUUGUCGGUAAUUGCCUGAUCAUCGCUGCCGUCUUCUGCUCUUCCAAAUUACGUUCAGUUACUAAUCUCUUUAUUGUCUCGCUUGCUGUCGCCGAUUUAUUGGUCGGCAUCGCCGUAUUGCCCUUUUCUGCUACAAGGGAGAUAUUCGACAUAUGGAUAUUCGGAGAUACAUGGUGCAGCAUGUGGUUGGCAUUGGAUGUAUGGAUGUGCACCGCUUCUAUAUUAAACCUUUGUGCUAUUUCUUUGGAUCGGUACGUGGCUGUGACACGACCGAUUACCUAUCCGAACAUCAUGUCUACGUCCAGAGCCAAACUGUUGAUCGCAGGACUUUGGAUACUCAGCUUUGUCAUUUGUUUUCCUCCACUGGUUGGAUGGAAAGAUAAAAAGGCUGAGAACGCUAGCAACGUGACGGAAUUGGAAAAGGACACUCCGUGCCCAUGGAAGUGUGAACUGACUAAUGAAGCUGGAUACGUUGUUUACUCUGCUUUAGGAUCCUUCUACAUUCCCAUGUUCGUGAUGUUGUUUUUCUACUGGCGUAUUUAUAGGGCUGCGGUGAGAACCACACGUGCCAUCAAUCAAGGAUUCAGGACUACCAAAGGUUCUAGGAAAUUCGGAAACCGUUUCGACGAACAAAGGCUGACCCUCCGCAUUCAUAGGGGUCGGGGCCACUCAACGCGAUAUGGCUCAUCUCAGAGUUCCACGAGCAACAGCACAUUAACCGCGGAUAGCGCGUCUCCAAGCCCUUCCUCUCGUGGACGACACGAACGAGUCAAAAUAAGCGUGAGCUACCCAUCAAGUGACAAUCUUUCUUCCCAUUCAACGCCCCAUCUGCUAUCUGUGAGCCCGACGUCUCCUGUUCAUUCCAUCAAUUACACAGUACAUUACUCUAACGAAAGGGGCACUUCGGUUACCAUGCUUGACCCAUCCGAGACGCAUUUGAGGGUGAAAACUAUGGCUGAUAACCAUCGCAGGCAUUCGACGAAAUCGGCUAAUUUCGACAUAGAACGAGAUAGGAGUCCCAGUCCGAGUAUUUGUGACGACGGCACUCCCCUCAGGUCAAAAGUAAUGUCACGAAAGAUGGGAAAAAGGAACAUUAAAGCGCAAGUGAAACGGUUUCGUAUGGAAACUAAAGCGGCUAAAACUUUAGGGAUUAUUGUUGGUGGUUUUAUAUUUUGUUGGCUGCCGUUCUUUACAAUGUACCUGGUGCGCGCCUUUUGCCAUCACUGUAUCCAUCCGUUAGUGUUUAGUGUCUUGUUCUGGUUGGGCUACUGCAACAGUGCUAUAAAUCCGUUGAUUUACGCCCUAUUUUCUAAAGACUUUCGAUUCGCGUUCAAAAGGAUCAUUUGUAGAUGCUUUUGUAAAGGUGGCGGUGAAUCUACUUCUAGGAGAGGUUCCGACGGAUCUCAGAUGCAAACUCGACACUUCCGAACCCCAAGCUAUAACAAUCGUUAUCAAGAAGAGGACAUUGAUAACAGAAACGGCUAUCAUAGGUGACGUAUGAAGAAACCAUCUCUAGCACGUAUGUACCUACAUAGGAAUCCUGCAUUUAAGGUUGCGAUGCACAUUUACGGAUAGUAGUUACUGUAAUAUUGUAAGGGAGGUAAAGUUAAACAAUCGAACAUAGGAAAAUAUUUGAAGACAGAAAAAUUGCAAGCCUCUUAAACAUUUUGGAUAAGCGCUUUCUCGGUAGAUAUUUAUCAAAAGCAUGCACCCACGAGCUUUUCCGGACGCUUUUCUUAUCUUGCCAUGUUAAUUACAUAAUUUAAACAACAAAAGCUUCUUGCUUUAGCUAAUUGUUUACAGGAUCUAUGCACUAGAACGAUUCGUUUUUCGUGGUUUUCGAUGUAUUAGUUUAAAAGUGUGCGGGCGACAUUUUUCGCGCGGUAGUGUAGUGAUUUUUGAACGAGUAAGGGACAAUGAAAAUUAAAUCGUUGGCAACGUUUAAUGAAAAGUACCCAUAAUGUAGGCGUCAUUACUCUCUAGUGGAUUGGUUUGGCUGUUACAAAUAUGCUUAAAAGGUUACGGAUCGCAACAUCCUGAUUGGUAGUCAUCACUAGUCUACGACAAUAUUGUGCUUCUAUUCG